AUCCAUCUGACGAGUCCAAAAUGUAGUGAAACGCGCGUCCUGUAU
rnacentral:hammerhead_ribozyme from 1 species